UACGUAGGGGGCUAGCGUUGUCCGGAUUCAUUGGGCGUAAAGGGUGCGUAGGCGGCGCGGUAAGUCGGGUGUGAAAUCUCGGAGCUUAACUCCGAAACUGCAUUCGAUACUGCCGUGCUUGAGGACUGGAGAGGAGACUGGAAUUUACGGUGUAGCGGUGAAAUGCGUAGAUAUCGUAAGGAAGACCAGUGGCGAAGGCGGGUCUCUGGACAGUUCCUGACGCUGAGGCACGAAAGCGUGGGGAGCAAACAGG
rnacentral:rRNA from 1 species